GUGAGUGAGUGAGUGAGUGAGGAGGGGGAAGUCCGGAAGGGUGUGUGUGUUGAAACUGAGCGCUGCAGCAGGCAGAUGAGUCUACCAAAUGAGAGGAGACAGAGCAGCACGCGGGCACGCCAUGACAUCUUUUUAGGGAAAACCUGUAGAAGCCUUAAGACCCAGAUCAGUGAGCACCUCAGCCAUAUACAAACAGGUGAGACAAAAAACCUGGUUGCUGUUCAUUUUGUACAAGCUGGACAUCCUAUUAGUUCUCUGAUAUACAUUGGAAUAGAAAUGGUCAAGAUGUCAAGCAGGAGAGGGGACAUUGAGAGGAAACAUCUUCAAAGGGAAUCUUUCUGUAUUCACAGGCAUAACACUUGGCCUCCUGAGUGGUACAGCGGUCUAAGGUGCUGCAUCUCAGUGCUAGAGGUAUCAUUACAGUCGCUGGUUCAAUUCCAGACUCUAUCACAAACAGCCGUGAUUGGGAGUCCCAUAGGGCAGUGCACAAUUGUCCCAGUGUUGUUAGGGGUAGGCUGUC
ensembl:lncRNA